AUGCACGCGCGCGGCCCCGCGCUGCAAAUUUCCACCGGGGAGGGAGAGUGGCUGGAUGCGGAGAGUUUGGAGUUGCUUGCAGCGGAGGGCAGGAAGGGGAGCAGGGCCGGGAAAGGGGGCUGGCGGGCGCUAUAUCUGGGAGUAAGUUUCCAGGAACGGGAGAGCCUGCACGCUUGCUCGCUACUCUGCUCGCCCCUCAUCUCACCCCCCAGGCGAAGACUGGUCUUCUUGUCGGAUUGCCCAUGCACUUGUUGCAGAAACAGCCAAGAUUUCCAGAUUGAGAAUUUGAUAUUUGGCAGCUUGAGAGUUGAGUUAGUUGGGAAUUAAAUAUUAUUGCCACUUAUCAAGUGUUCCUAACUAGGCAUUCGUUAAACAAAUUAGCUAUUAUUUUUCCCCUGCUGAAAAUCUGAGUCUGGUUGAUGUAUAUGCUGGGAAGGUAAACAAAAUCUUUAUGUGUGUUUAUCCCAGGGAAGGGGAAUUAUUUACAUGUCUACCCUUGAAGCCAAGAGCAGUCAUUCAGUGUUUUUUUUUUUAAUUUAUGAGAUUUAUUUUAUUGUCUUGCUUUGGCCAUUAAUCAAGUCACAGGAGCUUUUUUUCCCUCUUCUGAGAAUGUUCUUGUGGUAAUAAAGGUUUGAAGGCCCAUGAAUCAUAAUUCAUUCUUUUAAAAAUAUUGUCAGGAUUUGAUUUAUAGGAAUUGAUACAGGCAGUGACACACCUCUUUGGGCUCCGCCCUUUUAGGCAUGUCCAUUUUCGCCAAAGAAUUGUUUAAGAAGCCUGCUUGACAUCUCAAAAAAAAGCGUUUCCCUUCUGCUUUAAGAGCACUGAGAAGAUUAAUUUUGCGGGUUCCAUAGUAAGCAUGGGUCUUUUCACAGCUUGGUAAGCAGGCUUCCACAUAGCAGGCAUGUGUUAAUAUCACAUAGCGUUUAUGUGAGCUUGCUGUGAAAACAGUUGUUCUAUGAACUGUGUGGAAAGUACUCAGUUUUGCCUCUUUUAACCCACUUGGGCCUGUGGUUUUUGUUGAGGUAGGAGCUUUCAUUGUAAAAGAGGCAAUAGUCUGUAGUGUUCUUUGCUGCUUAUAUAAUAAAAUAUGUGGUCACAGAAACAAGACUUAGUUAAAAUUCUUUUUCUCCUGCUCUGAUGGGUGGCUUGGUCCUAAGAAUCAAAAGCAUUGGUGUUUUUGAGGGAAGUAUGAGAAUUCUCUAUAAAGCUGAUUAAUCAGGAAAUGGUAAAAUUGUCUUGUGUUCAGCCAUUGGCUCAGUUUACAGUAUCUGUAAAAUGACAAGAACUUUUAAGGUGGUUUGAUUCUUAGGCCAGGAGGACAGGGUCACUGGAAAGAAAAGUGGGGAGGUUAUCAGCAUCUAACCAUUUCUGGGCUUCAGAAUUUUUAUCUUAAAAAUGCGUGGUUUGAUCCGUGAGUUGCAUCCGUCUCUGAAAUUCUGUGACUCGGUCUUGUGGAGAGAAGUCUCAAGAGAUCUCCACAGUCCGUCUCUUCCUGGGCCAACGGCCAGAUUGCCUCAUGGACUUGGGCGUUGAUUAACUUCUCUUUUUGUCUUCUCCUGGAGAGAGUGGAUUUAUACCUUGGCAUUCCAAAAAGGACUCUUGAAUGGCCCGGUAAUCUUGACUGUCAAAUGCAAGGAAAUACUUUGUC
ensembl:lincRNA